rnacentral:rRNA from 1 species
GGCAAGCGUUGUCCGGAAUCAUUGGGCGUAAAGAGCGCGUAGGCGGUCCGGUAAGUCGGUUGUGAAAACUGGGGGCUCAACCCUCAGAGGCCGACCGAUACUGUCGGGCUAGAGUCCGGAAGAGGCGAGUGGAAUUCCUGGUGUAGCGGUGAAAUGCGCAGAUAUCAGGAGGAACACCAAUGGCGAAGGCAGCUCGCUGGGACGGUACUGACGCUGAGGCGCGAAAGCGUGGGGAGCAAACAGG